rnacentral:rRNA from 1 species
UACAGAGGGGGCAAGCGUUGUUCGGAAUUACUGGGCGUAAAGGGCGCGUAGGCGGCCUUCUAAGUCGAACGUGAAAUCCCCGGGCUCAACCCGGGAACUGCGUCCGAGACUGGAAGGCUUGAAUCCGGGAGAGGGAUGUGGAAUUCCUGGUGUAGCGGUGAAAUGCGCAGAUAUCAGGAGGAACACCGGUGGCGAAGGCGGAUCUCUGGGCCGUAACUGACGCUGAGGAGCGAAAGCAUGGGGAGCGAACAGG